rnacentral:lncRNA from 1 species
GCCCCGCGUUAGGUUGAGGCCGCCCCGCUGCCGGCGAGGGCCGCCAUUGCUAUUGCGGCCUUCUUCCUCGGCUUGGGAGUCCCCGUCGCGUUCUCUCUUCCUCUCAGGAAAAGAGAGUGCAGCUCACGAUUAAAGACUGGGGAAAAGUAGCUAGGACAGGGCUGAGGAACGGAGCGUUCCGACGGGGCCGCAACACGCGGAGCCUCCGCCCCAAAGCGGCGCGGACUGCCGCCUCGGUAGCUGUCAUGGCGGCCCGGACCACGUGACCCCGCCUCGGCGCAGGCCUGGUUGCCCGUCGCUCUGGUUCUCCUGGUUCUCCGCCUCCCUCCCUUUCUCGUUUGCGGACUUGGGACAUUCCCUUUCUUCCCCGAGGAGGACUGCUACACAGAUUUCCGACAAAUCCGUCAGGAUAUACGGAUCUGCGGACGUGUUCAUCCGGGAAGUGGAAAUCCACCUGGAAAGGGUAUUAUUGGUAGAAAAUUUGCGGCCCCAAAGUCAAGUGUACGGUGUGCCAUUAUCUCGAGAAGGUUUGACGUACGUGCACGUACAAGCAGUAUUAAUUUACUUAUGUUAUAAAGUUGGUUUACAUGGAUGUUUAGAAGGUUAUGUAUGUUCUUAAAAGGACGGAAAUGUUUUGAACCAUAAGUGAACUCAGUUUUUCAUUGAGUGUACAGUGCAUUGAGUAGUGCUGGCUUCCGCGGCACAUAGACAAUGCGUUGAGUGUCUGGUGCUCUCCCAAAUCGCUUUUGUCAGGAUUACCUGAAUAUUUUAAAGGAGGUGCUCCAGGAGGUAUUUCACGGUGCAGCCCAUGGUUUUUGUAUAAUGCCUUUAAGUUAAUUAAACCUUAUCAGGUUUUCUUGAAGAUGAUUUCCUGGAAUCUAGUUGCCACACUUAAGUGUUCCACUGGGCGUUUCUGUAUUUGCAUUAUCUUCUAAGGACUAUUAAGCAAGUGACAUGUUUUUUUUUUUUUUAAACCAAAAAGGGGUAGGACUUAACUUUUUUUUUUUUUUUUUAAAUGGUUGAUUUACUUAUUUGAGAGAGACUACCUGCAGGGGAAUAGAGAGAAUCCUAAGCAGGCUCCACAUUCAGUGCAGAGUCCAACUCAGGGCUGGAUCUCAGGAUCCUGAGAUCAUGACCUGAGUGGAAAACAAGAGUUGUACACUUAACCAGCUGAGCCACCCAGAAACCCUUGGGACUGUUUUUUAAGUUGGCAUUUCACUUAGGUAGUGUUUCAAAUAUUUUGGAUAUAUA